CCUACGGGAGGCAGCAGUGGGGAAUUUUGGACAAUGGGCGAAAGCCUGAUCCAGCAAUGCCGCGUGAGUGAAGAAGGCCUUCGGGUUGUAAAGCUCUUUUGUCAGGGAAGAAACGGUGAGAGCUAAUAUCUCUUGCUAAUGACGGUACCUGAAGAAUAAGCACCGGCUAACUACGUGCCAGCAGCCGCGGUAAUACGUAGGGUGCAAGCGUUAAUCGGAAUUACUGGGCGUAAAGCGUGCGCAGGCGGUUUUGUAAGUCUGAUGUGAAAUCCCCGGGCUCAACCUGGGAAUUGCAUUGGAGACUGCAAGGCUAGAAUCUGGCAGAGGGGGGUAGAAUUCCACGUGUAGCAGUGAAAUGCGUAGAUAUGUGGAGGAACACCGAUGGCGAAGGCAGCCCCCUGGGUCAAGAUUGACGCUCAUGCACGAAAGCGUGGGGAGCAAACAGGAUUAGAUACCCUGGUAGUCCACGCCCUAAACGAUGUCUACUAGUUGUCGGGUCUUAAUUGACUUGGUAACGCAGCUAACGCGUGAAGUAGACCGCCUGGGGAGUACGGUCGCAAGNUUAAAACCGUUAAGGAAUUGACGG
rnacentral:rRNA from 1 species